UACGUAGGGGGCUAGCGUUGUCCGGAAUCAUUGGGCGUAAAGCGCGUGUAGGCGGUCCGGUAAGUCCGCUGUGAAAGCCAGGGGCUCAACCCUUGGAUGCCGGUGGAUACUGUCGGGCUUGAGUACGGAAGAGGCGAGUGGAAUUCCUGGUGUAGCGGUGAAAUGCGCAGAUAUCAGGAGGAACACCAAUAGCGAAGGCAGCUCGCUGGGACGUUACUGACACUGAGGCGCGAAAGCGUGGGGAGCGAACAGG
rnacentral:rRNA from 1 species